UGCUCCAUAGACCCUUUGUGUUUCCGGUGCGAGUGUAAAGCAUUCAAAGGGAAAUCGAGUCAGCAUAGGCCGUGUUAACGUGUACAUGUGCUAGAGUGGUGAUGAGCUCAUGAAAGGCUACUACCGUUGUCUAUGUUAGCUGGUUAUUGUGAAUGUGGGGAAAAAGAGGCACACUCAUUUUGUUGUGAGAUCAAACUUUAUUGUUCUCAAUGGCUGUAUUUAAGUUGUAAUUUUUCUGUCCAAAUCCCCCAAAUUUGCAUACUUAAUGCUGCGCUGUUCCAAGUGCGUUCUGGAAUAAAAGGCCCCAUUUAAAUUUUUCAUCCUGUGUCCGGUGUCACAAAUUCAUAUCCCGGGCCACAGAGAUUUUGGUACCAGGAGUGGGGUUUCCAUUGCUAAUUUUGGGACAUUUUUGACAGUCAGGUAGAGUAAGAGGAACAUAGACAACGGUAGUGGUGAAAAGAGGUCGAGUAACAGGGCCAAAGAGGUCGACGACGUGAAGUGUGGCGUGCCUCGAAAGCCUGCGGGGAAGCAAG